rnacentral:lncRNA from 1 species
AUGCUGUCGGUGAGGGCGAUCCAGGCGCCUACCCGCGCUGUCCGAAGUGAGGAGUGGGGGGUCUCUCCGCUCAGCGGGGGUCGCGCCCGCCCGGGACCUGGGCCGCGCGGGCGCCCAGGCGGCGCAUCCUCGCCAGGGUCUGUGCUCACCGCGUCCGGCGGGCGGCGCUGCGCCUCCCCUCGGGGGCCCGCUCAGGGCUGCAGCUCGGCCCGCGCUGCUCCCCGGGGCGCCCUCUCCGCCCGCGCCAGGAGCCGGGCGGCUUCGGCCCCUCUCGCCGGCCCCAGCUGCAGCCUGUCUUUGUUGCUUCCUCUUGCUCGACCGCCUGCCCGCGGCUUGCAGCCCCCCGGUUCGCUCUGGGGCGGGGGGGUUGUCUCCUCCGGGGUUGCACGCACCUGCGGCGGCCCCGGCUCCUCGCCGGGCAUGCACCGGCCCCCGCAGGUUGCAAAGAGCGGCGGGGAGAACGCACCGGCCCCUCCUCCUCCUGCUCCGAGCCCCGGGUGUUGGGGGAGGGGAAGGCGGAGAGCAGCGGCAGCCGCGGCGGCGGCAGAGGGCGGCGGAGCCUCGGAUGCAGCCCUGGGGGCCUCGGCGCCGAGAGAGACCCGGUCCGGGUGGCGCAGGGCGAACGUGGGGACGGGCCGGAGGACGGUGCACCGGACGUGCGAGCUCCCGAGCUGCAGCAGGGGCGGCGCGCGCCGGGCUCUCACGCGCCCAUGGCCCCGGGCGGCGCGCGGGGGCUCCCGGGGCCUCAGCCUCGCGCCGCCUGGCGCGCGCCGGCGUCUCGCCUCGCCUCAGGCCCGGGUGCCGCGCGCCGCGCCGCGCCCCGCAGGCGGCGGGCCCGGCUCUUCUUCGCCUCCCCCGGCAGGCGCGCGCAGCCUCUCCGAGGAGCCGCCGGCCCGGCCGUCCUGCCCGCUGCUCCGCUCCGGCCCGACUGACAGACGCGAGCGCCGGCAGAGGCUGCGGCGUCUCGCCCCCCGCCCGCCCCCUGCGGUCCUGCCCAAUCAGCGGCGGCCGAGAGGCGGUUACCAGGGUGACGCGGCGCCGCGUCCUGCGGGGGGCGGGGCCGGGGGCCGCCACGCGCGCUUUUCGCGGCAAAAUUCAAAGGCCGGCAGGGCGGCUCUCCAACCUCCUCCCCCUAGCUAG